UACGAAGGGGGCUAGCGUUGCUCGGAAUUACUGGGCGUAAAGGGCGCGUAGGCGGAUAUCUAAGUUGGGGGUGAAAUCCCGGGGCUCAACCUCGGAAUUGCCUUCAAAACUGGAUAUCUUGAGUUCGGGAGAGGUGAGUGGAACUCCGAGUGUAGAGGUGAAAUUCGUAGAUAUUCGGAAGAACACCAGUGGCGAAGGCGGCUCACUGGUCCGGUACUGACGCUGAUGUGCGAAAGCGUGGGGAGCGAACAGG
rnacentral:rRNA from 1 species